rnacentral:rRNA from 1 species
CCAAUAGCGUAUAUUAAAGUUGUUGCAGUUAAAAAGCUCGUAGUUGAAUUUCGGGGUCAGUAGGCUGGUCGUGCCACAGGUAUGCACUGGUUUCACUGAUUCCUCCUUCCUGAUGAACCGUAAUGCCAUUAAUUUGGUGUUGCGGGGAAUCUGGACGGUUACUUUGAAAAAAUGAGAGUGUUUAAAGCAGGCUAACGCUUGAAUACAUUAGCAUGGAAUAAUGAACUAGGACGAUCGAUCCUAUUUUGUUGGUUUCUAGGAUUGACGUAAUGAUUAAUAGGGAUAGUUGGGGGCAUUAGUAUUCAAUUGUCAGAGGUGAAAUUCUUGGAUUUAUUGAAGACUAACUACUGCGAAAGCAUUUGCCAAGGAUGUUUUCAUUAAUCAAGAACGAAAGUUAGGGGAUCGAAGACGAUCAGAUACCGUCGUAGUCUUAACCAUAAACUAUGCCGACUAGGGAUCGGAUGAUGUUAAUUUUUUAAUGACUCAUUCGGCGCCUUACG